rnacentral:tRNA from 1 species
GCCCCCGUAGUUUAGCCCGGAUAAGAAUACUGGCCUUUCGAGCCAGGGAUCCCGGGUUCAAAUCCCGGCGGGGGCA